AGAAGGGAGCUUUCACACAAGUACCUAAAGACAAAUUUAUCACCAAUGAAAUAAGAAAGGGACUAUCACAAAAAGAACUGGAAUUUAAACAAGCUAAAUCAAUCCACUAUGGAAUAAGCAAAUGAUAUAUAGCUUCUAAUCAGAAUCUCUACCAUUUUCCUCAAGGUUUUUUACAUCCCUACCAGUAAUCUAAUUCCGCAGACAGAGUACUAACAGAGUAGAACUUUAAAGUAAAGAACAUAUAAACAAACAAGCACAAAACUUUAAAGCCUACGAAAUAUCUCCACGCAGAUAGAAAUACAUGACCAUGUAAAUGGUCCUCCAUUAAAAGAAAAAAACAGAGAAACCCAAAAGAGAGGCAGAGAGAUAAAGAGAGAAGAAACAGAGUGUAAGUAGAACAGAGAAGAAAAAUCUAGACUUUGAAAUCCCAAAAAAAAACCCUAGAAAAGCAGAAAUGAAUGAACUUUUUAACAUAGGGAGCAGAAGUGACGAGAGGGAGAGUGAUUGACUUACGAGAAGGCGAUUAUUGAGGAGGAAGCAAAAAAAAAAAAAAAGAUUCACUGUGAAGAAACCCUAGAUUCUGGUGCUCAGAGAGACAAGGGGGAGAGAGAAAAAGUGACCAUCUUUGGCUAAGUCAGUGGGAUUUUUAAAAUGUUUGGAUUUUUUUCCGGUAAUGGCAAAAAUAUUUCCACCAUUACGGUGCUUUUCUUUUUCCGCGAAGUUUAUGGAGUUUGACUUUUUAUUCAUUAUCGGUUUACCAAAUUUUUAUUACUUUCUUUCUUUAAAUAUCAUUUUUU